AGCCCCGUGGCCUAAUGGAUAAGGCAUCGGCCUCCUAAGCCGCGGAUUGCGGGUUCGAGUACCGCCGGAGGUUA
rnacentral:tRNA from 1 species